UCCGUGGAGCUCAAGUUUGAGGUGAAAUCAGUCUCAGGGUCCACCUGUCUUCGCUGAUCCAUGGAUUUCUGUGUGACCAGGUCCGGGGCUGGACAGAGAGUGACUCUACUGGGAGUUGAGCCAUGAGACACAGGGCUUCUCCCACCUGGGUUCCUUCACCCUGGACGGGGACAGCCUCUACGUCAGUGGUUACACCUAUGGAGCCGUGGCCCCGACUACAA